rnacentral:piRNA from 1 species
UGCUAACUUUGUCUGCAUGGCGGCU